GGCGGCUCCGAGCUCGCAGUCGGUGCUGGACCAGCAGCGGGAGAUGGCCCGGAAGAGGGAGCAGGAGAGGAGGCGCCGGGAAGCGAUGGCGGCGACGAUCGACAUGAACUUCCAGAGCGACCUCCUGGCCAUUUUCGAGGAGAAUCUUUUCUAGGAGAGGCGAUUCCGGCCGGGAAUUUGACUCUUUCCCAAAAAAAAAAAAAUACCACAAAA